AGUGAACGCUGGCGGUAGGCCUAACACAUGCAAGUCGAACGGCAGCACAGGAGAGCUUGCUCUCUGGGUGGCGAGUGGCGGACGGGUGAGGAAUACAUCGGAAUCUACUCUGUCGUGGGGGAUAACGUAGGGAAACUUACGCUAAUACCGCAUACGACCUACGGGUGAAAGCAGGGGACCUUCGGGCCUUGCGCGAUUGAAUGCGCCGAUGUCGGAUUAGCUAGUUGGCGGGGUAAAGGCCCACCAAGGCGACUAUCCGUAGCUGGUCUGAGAGGAUGAUCAGCCACACUGGAACUGAGACACGAUCCAGACUCCUACGGGAGGCAGCAGUGGGGAAUAUUGGACAAUGGGCGCAAGCCUGAUCCAGCCAUACCGCGUGGGUGUAGAAGGCCUUCGGGUUGUAAAGCCCUUUUGUUGGGAAAGAAAUCCAGCUGGCUAAUACCCGGUUGGGAUGACGGUACCCAAAGAAUAAGCACCGGCUAACUUCGUGCCAGCCGCCGCCGUAACAC
rnacentral:rRNA from 1 species